rnacentral:rRNA from 1 species
AGAGACAUAAGAGUACACGGUGGAUGCCUUGGCCUAGGACGGCUAUGAAGGACGCGACUAACCUGCGAAAAGCUUCGGGGAGGCGGUUUGUAGCCUUUGAUCCGGAGAUGUCCGAAUGGGGAAACCCUGCAGUGUUGAACUGCAAUCUGCGAGGUAACGCUUGCAUGAGGCGAACCCUGGGAAGUGAAACAUCUCAGUACCAGGAGGAAAAGAAAUAAAAUUAUAUUCUCUUAGUAGCGGCGAGCGAAAAGGGAAAAGCCCAAACCGACACUGGAGUCUAGAGGCUAGAAGCUAGAAACUGGAAAUUUCCAGAUUCCAGCAUCCAGUUUCCAGUCUCCAGUGUGGGGGUUGUAAGAUGCGAACAUUCCGAUUUAUCGGUGAAGAGUUAUCAAUCGUCUAUAUAGCAGAAACUGCUGGGAAGCAGUGCCCCAGAGGGUAAUGGCCCCGUAUGCGAAAUGUAUGACGACUCUUGUUUGUAUUCUUGAGUAGCUCCAGACACGAAUAGCUGGAGUGAAUCUGCCGGAACUAACCGGUAAGGCUAAAUACGUCCUAUGACCGAUAGUGAACUAGUACCGUGA